rnacentral:rRNA from 1 species
UGCGUAGGCGGCCUGACAAGUCAGAGGUGAAAGGCUACGGCUUAACCGUAGUAAGCCUUUGAAACUGACAGGCUUGAGUGCAGGAGAGGAAAGUGGAAUUCCUAGUGUGGCGGUGAAAUGCGUAGAUAUUAGGAGGAACACCAGUGGCGAAGGCGACUUUCUGGACUGUAACUGACGCUGAGGCACGAAAGCGUGGGGAGCGAACAGGAUUAGAUACCCUGGUAGUCC